GAAGUAAAUGCUCUUAUUUUAUUUGUUAACUUCGCUAUUUGGAAAGUUACUAAAAAUGAGAUUUUCGGUGGAGUCAUAUAUUUAUUGCUUCAUUUAUAAUUGUCAAUUUUCAUUAUUUUUGGAGAGUUACCGAAAAUGAGAUUUUCGGUGGAUAUGUAUAUGAAUAAUUUCUUUUCUUGGAGAAUAACCGAAAUUGAGAAUUUUGGUGAUUAUAUAUUCAUUUAUGAAUGAUUAGGAGAAUAGUAUGUAUAUGAAUAAAUGGUAGCUAGCUAUACGUGCGUUUCCGUCAUAAUGAGGUAAAAAUUCUAUUAUGGCGCGACGUGAGCGUUAGACCCAAUCGUCGUUGCCCUAUAUAAAUUUAGUAAUUUAUAUAGGGAAUAUGCACGUAUAUAUACACUCGUGCUUUUCUGUCAUAAUGAGGUAAAAUUCCAUUAUGACCCGACGUGAGCGUUAGACGCAAGCGUCGUAGCCUUGCACGAAUUUUUAUUUUUCUUAUUUGUUUUAUAGAAUUCGUACAAGGAAUAUUGUCACACCCCAAUUUUCGUAGGAUAAUUUUUAAAAAUUUUAGCAUGAUAUAUCUUAAAAUAUUAUAAUCCCGUAACCUGUUUCAACAACAAACUUCACAGGAAACUAAAAAUUCGAUGCGGGAAUGUAAUUCACACAACUCAACAUUGAGUUAAAUAAUACAUUUCCUUGUUUACAUAAACUUGAAAGUCAAGAAAAUGAAACACUCACAUGAGUUUAAUACUGUCUAACCCAAAUAUAAAAAUAUACCGAGUACAGCAAAACCCAACAAAAAACCCUGCCACUAAGCCUCCGCCUCAACCCUGCUAAUCCUCACAUGUAGGUCUAACCCCUACACCAAGAAUUGGUGCACCGGGUUGUAAACAACAAACCCGGUAAGCUAAAAAGACCGUAUGAGUAAUUCUCAAAAUAACACAACACCUCCAACAACCCAUUGUAACACAAGAACAAUUAUAUCAAUAAUUAAAUCCACAAAUCCAACACUUUUGCAAUUAACAUGUACCCAUGAGUCCCAGGUAUUAAUAAAUACCCCUCAUGACCUACAACAACGAACUGUGUACCCAUGGGUCCUAGAUACCAUACGAUAUCUCACAUGACCUACACUGACAGACGGACUAGAGCUCUAUUCCUAACCGCAACCAAUCACCCGACUAAAGGCUUGGAACCCGGUUUGACUGUUUAAUAUUAAACACAAAAAUGAUAAAUAGCAUAUUAACCGCAACCAAUCACCCAAUUAAAAGCUUGGAACCCAGUUUGGCUAUUUAUCCAACAAUCAUUAUAUCACAACAUUAUCCUCAACAACACAAUACCACAUCAUUAUUCUCAACAACACAAUAUCACAUCAUUAUUCUCAACAACACAAUAUAGAUAUUCCACAAGAAUAAUCUAUCAAAAAUCAAUAAAAUUAUGAUCACAUGAAUCUCAAAAUAGCAUUUAAAGAAAACUUGAUUUAUCUUACCUAUGAGCCGUUGACGAUCAAGCUCAUAUAUUUUUAAAAACAAUUAAAAGCAUAUUAUUAAAUCCAACAUCAUCAUCAUUAUCAUCAUAUGACCAUAAUAAAAUUAGGUUCAAAAGUGAACCUUGGUGAGAUUUAUUCACCUAGAUAUCCUGCUCCGAAACCCCCAACCUAACGAAGGCAAGCCAACCACAAAAUCAUAAAUCACCUAAAAUCACACAAUUAAAAACCUUAGAAACCAAAGUAGUAAAGGAUAACACAAUACCCUUAAACUAACCCUUAGCUCAAGGGAGGACAACUUCCCAAAGUCGUUGAACUCAAUGACACAACAGAGCUGCCUCAACUCUUCAAAACCUAAACUCUAACCCAACCAAGCCAACACCAAUAAACUUAAGUCCUAGCAUGCCAACCUUGCUUAAAAUCUAGUCAUACUACCACUCAACAAGCUUAUAACAGCAAUGACUAGCUAACCACAAGAAACUAAGGCCGCCACUCAGCCGGACGCGCCGCCACGUGCCACCACAGGCGGCGGCUAGUGGGCCCCACGCGCCACCCCAAACUUCUGAUUUAGGAGAAACUCACAACAGCAAAGUUGAAGCUUGAAGCAAGGGGAACAACUUUCAUACCUGAGGCUUCAACCAAUUUUGGCCGGAACCGACCGGAAACUGCCCCGAAAACAGUAACCCGAAUCAAACCGCAACACCUUCAAAUCCGGCCUCAAAACCUCAAAAACUCACUUCAAUCUAUGCCUAGCCACAACUAGAAGGAAGAGGGGAUCAAGACUCACCUAAGGAGGCCCCUCGUCACCGCCGUAUACGGCGGUUCCAACCGGUGGCACAGCAGCCCCCUUUUGCCGGCAGAAAGCGUUGUUUCCGGCAUCCCACAUCGAGCAGCAGCUGCCCAGCCUUGAAGAGGGCACCUACGGAGUCGAACGGGACAGGCGCGGUCCAAUCGGUGGCCGGACGGUGGUGCUAGCUCCGGCGGGAGUUGGGUUCUCGGGGAAACUCGGGAGAGGAAGAGGGAGAAGAGAGAGAAGAGAGAAAAGAGAGGGAAGAGAAGAAAAAAAAAGGCUGACUUGUUUUUAGGGUUUCCAAAAACAUCCUACACACAUUUUUCUACUUAUAUUUUUUUCAAACCCGGAAACAAACUUCCUCUGAACAUAACUUCUUCAUACGACAUUCGUUUUAAACGUGCUACAUGUCUACGAACUUGUAUUGACAAACUCUACAACUUUCGUGAAGGAAGUUUUCGAAGAUAACUCACGGAAAAUAAAGUCAACUUUUGGCCUCUUAAAAGUCAAACCAUCUUAAAUUAAACUCCGGAAACUUCAACUUCGCAUAAACCAAGAAAUUUUCAUAAAUAAUCCUUCAUUAAUUAUGGGAAUAAUACAUGGAAAAUUGAUAUGAAAAUCUAGGGAAUUACAAAUAUGACGGGUGUAAAUACAUACAUAUAUAUAUAUAUAUAUUUGUUUAGCCUAAGAGGCUUUAUUUUUUUAAGUUUGGAGACUAGCCGGAGCUAGUCAUGUAAUUUCCAAUCAAUGAGUUGAGAGCUUUUGAGCUGCCGCAUGCAGUAUAUUUUCUAUGGAAAUUUAAAUUGGGAAAGCAUAAAUAUUUUCAUUAAAUUAAUUUUUGUCCACUCACUGUAACGUUUGCAAAUGUUUUCCUCUAGGCCCUUCGUUUUAAAAAUGCCCAGUUUGCAGGUUAGCUUUGUUGAGGUCGGGCAUACAUGGAGAAGAGGCAUAAUCUUUAGUAUAGCUUCCGCUCUUUUUUUUUAUUAUUUCUAGUUCAUUUCCUCUCAAAUAGAGUUGCUCUGAACCUGUGAUUGGUGGUUUGAGUUUUUCUAUAAAGUUAGUAAAUAAAUUGGGAGAUGUUGUGUUUUGAGGAGCACGAAGGCUCUAGGAGUUUAAGGUUGGAUUUGGAUUUUUAGUAUUUUUUAUUAUUUUUAAGUGUUUGCAGGUUAUUUUUUUUUUUAGAAGGGUUGUCCAUUUUCAAGGGAGGUUAUGCCGUAAUUUUCGGUUAAACUUUCCUUGAAGGUGGUCCCCACAGGAUUUACUUCUAGUUUCAGGGUGUAAAGUUCGGGGUGGGUCCUGACACUAUAAUUAGUUUAAGUAAAUAAAUUAGGAGGUGUUGUGAAUUGGGGANCAGAAGGCUNNNANNAGUGNUGAUUUAANGUGUUUGCAGGUGUUUUUCAGGUUAGGGUUNUCCAUUUUCAAAGGAAGUUAUGCUGAAUUUUCGGUAAACUUUCCUUGAAGGUGGACCCCACAGGAUUUACUUCAGUUUCAGGGUGAAAUUCGGGGUGGGUCCUGACACUAUAUUUAGUUUAGUAAAUAAAUUAGGAGGUGUUGUGAAUUUGGGGAGCACGAAGGCUCUAUGAGUAUAAGGUUGGAGUUGGAUUUUUAAAUGUGUUUGCAGGUGUUUUCAGGUUAGGGUUGUCCAUUUUCAAAGGAAGUUAUGCUGAAUUUUCGGUAAAUUUUCCUUGGAGGUGGACCCCGCAGGAUUUACUUCGGGUUUCAGGGUGAAAUUUGGGGUGGGUCCUGAUAUGAACAACGUACAUACAAAAAUUGUAGCAGUAAUUAAAACCAAGAGCAAUAAUAAGAAGCAAACAACUCACCAAGAUACCUCAUAAAUCACAGACAUUUAUGAGAAACCACACUGAGAUGACAAAAUUAGGGAUUCGAAACCUCACCAAUCAGAUUCUGGAAGGCCAAAACCCAUAGAUCAAGCAUCGGUCGUCCUCACAGAGAAGAAAGAAAAGCAUAGACAAGAAUUCUGGAGAAGAGAGACGAUGGAUCUGGAGGACUCUCUCCUCUAUCACCAAUCUCCGACCAUCGGGGUGGACUCACCAUAUAUCGUAGCCACCAUCUUUGCCUUCCUCCGAUGAGUCAAGGCCAGGCUCUGUCAUCCGGCUAUAACUCUAUCUAGUCCACCAAGACCACCCCUGAGAUGAUCAAAAACAAAUCUUUGUAGAUUCAUGCUCUAAAGAUUUGUGGAGAGAGAGAGAGAGAGAGAGAGAGAGAGAGAGAGAGAGAGAGAGAGAGAGAGAGAGAGAGAGAGAGAGAGAGAGAGAGAGAGAGAGAGAGAGAGAGAGAGAGAGAGAGNNNNNNNNNNNNNNNNNNNNGAGAGAGAGAGAGAUAGGCUAGGGUUUCAGACUUUCGUUGAGAGGGAGAGAGAUGCGGCUUUGGUGAGAGCGAGAGUGAGAAAGAAACGAAUUCUGUACAAAACUACAUAUGCGGCUUUGGGUUUCAGAUUUUCAAUUGUGUACAAGAUUUAACCUAGUCAUACCGCUUUUUUACAUUUUUAGCCACAACCUAUAACUUGUCGUUGCGAUCAAUAAACAAGAAUGUGACGGCGUUUGUGUGCCGUUGCAAUUUUCAUUUUUUUUUGCCACAGCUUACCAGUCGCCAUUGCAAACUCCUAUAAAUUUAGCGACGACCCGUUUGCUGUCACUGCGCCGUGGCAAAUGUUGGACUAACGGCGACAGCAAAACUGAGCCGUGGUAAACUUCAGUGGCUAACUGAAUUCUUUUUGUAGUGUUUUAGCACAAUCAUCCUCUCAACAUUCUAAACAACUUUCAUAACUAGCACAAAGUCCAAUUUUAAGCCUAACUAGGGUAAUCGAAGCCAAACAUUAAAAAUCCCAAUUUAAAACCCUAGAAUUUCAAAUGCUCGAUUUUCCUUAGCUAGAUCAAGAUGGAUUGAAACCUUUUGAGGUUUUGUGGCACAGGAAGAGGGCUUCCAAAUGAGACCAACAACUCCGCUAUGGUGGCAGGAAAAGAGAGUUCUGACGAGAACACCACCACGGUGCAGCCGCGACUUCACGGCGAGUUUGCUCUCUCACGGCGGCGCGACAUGGGCUGCCACCUACCUAGACUUGUAGAGGAUGCUCUGAGCUUCAAUUUGAUACCAAGCUUGCCGCCUAUCUUGGCCGGACGGCGGAGGAUGGAGGCAGGGAAUCCGGCGGAGGAGAGAGACGCAAGAGAGAGGAGAGAGAGAGGGAGGUGAAAUCUGAUUUUUUACCUUACCUCAAAUGGUAAGUUUCCAAUUUUAAUACCCCCAACCGAAAUAGUAACUUUACAUUUUACACCAUAAGUUUUACAUACGAACUCUGAUUUUAACGUAUAACAUGUCCACGGAUUCGUAUUAACGUCCUUUAUGACUUCUUUAAAUAAAUUUUCCCAAAAUAAUUUUCCUACAAAAAGUCAACUCUAGUAAAAUGACAUAAACCAGCCUCGCUGGUUGAUCAAAUAUAUACCUGAGAAGAAUAAAAUAAGGGAAAGAGUUAUCACCAUGAAAAAGGAGUCUCCUAGGCUCGGGUCGGUGCUUCCUAGGCCAUAAUAGCGUCCCACGAUAAGCGCUCUACUCACCUAUAGUGAGGACCGCUAAUAAUGGCUAGCUAAGUAAUAAAUAUAAAUACCGAUUGGUUGCCUCCCAGGCUAAUAUAGCGUUCCACGCUACGCGCUCUACUCACAUAUGAAGAUGACCCCUAAUAAGGCUAUAAUAGCGACUCACAUAUGAUGUGGACCGCUAAUAAGGUUAGCUAGCAAUAAUCAAUAUAAAAGCGACCCUAUAUUAUGGUGACUAAAAUCAUACAAGAAUCUUUUAAAUCCAUGAAACUUCCCCAAGAUCAUACGAAUGGUACGGUUCCCAACCGUACUUGAAAAUCAUCAUAAGAAAUUAUAAUAAACUCAAUGACGUGUCUCACAUGUCAAAAUAUUCUCAAAACCAUAUCAUAAGCGAGAUUUAAUUAACAAGUAAAAAUCAGAAUUAAUAUCUCAAUCCAAAAUACUCGCUUAAACAUUCUCAAGAUCAAGAUCGAUAUUCCACCAAUAAUUUCCAAAAUUAUAAAUAGCAAACUAUCGAAAAUCCAUUUUCGGAAAUCUUUUAUAAAUCUCAAAGUCCACCAAUAAAACCAUUUUAAUGAAAUCCAGAAUUUAUAAUCGGAGCUCAAAUCCAUAAAUCAUGACCCAUAAUUAAUCAAUGCUUCAAUCUCAAAUACUUUCCAAGAUCAUUUCAUAAACCAAAAUUAUAAUAUAAACUCGAAAAAUAAAUUAACAAAUUAUAAAAUCUUGCAUGCAAAUUUAUUUAAAACCAAAAUGUCCACUCACAAAUUUAGGCAUAAGCCCAACGAUAACCGCAUCGCCACUCAAGCGAGGUUCCCUUCGCUUCCUGGCACAACAACCAUGCUUAGAACCAAACUUCAAUUCCAGAAAAUAAAUACGUGAAUAAAAGCAUCUAACUCUCUUCCGUUGAACCCACUACUGUUAAUAGGGUUAAACUCGCCGGAUUCACACCAAACUCCACCACAACCUUAAUUCAUCAAUUCUAACUUUCUAUAAUAAAUACCAAGGAAAUCCAACGGCCGGAUUUUUGUUCUAAUAACCGGCAAAAUCCUUAAUCUUUUAAAAAUCCCAAACCUUAUCAAAACUCCUCCAAAAAUUCAAACUAUACUUCAUUAAACUCCUCUCAUUAUAACAAACCCAAAAACUUGAAAAACAACCUCCAAGUGGUGGCGGCGCCGCCUGCUCCACCAGCAGCCGUACUCCGGUGGCGCCCAUUGCCUCCCAAAAUUUAACAGAAUAAUCCUCUCGUCAAGCACAAUAACUUUCAUAACUUGCACUCAGUCCAAUUCUAAGCUUAACUAGGGUAAUCGAAUCAAAACAUCCAAAAAUCCCCCAAUUCAAACCCUCCUACACACUUCGAAUUGGAUCAUUACCUUCUAUGGAAAUGUUACACAUGGAGAGCACUUCCAAAUGGGACUGAAAUCACCGGAGAUGGUGGCCGGAGGAGCGAGUUCCGACAUCGGGACUCCACCACGCAGCCGGAACUUUCGAGAGCUCUUCCUCCCUCACGGCGGCGCUAGGGCGGCUCCCAUCAGUCCAAGAAGAGAGCUGGGUCGACGGCCGACCAUUUAGGACCGGUGCGGCGGUCUCUGGUGGCCAGACGACAGCGGACGACGCUGGGAAAGUUUCCGGCAGGAGAGAGAGAGAAGAGAGAGAGAAAGAGAAUGUGGGUGUUGGGCUUCUCCACACCCGGUCCAACACUUAAAACACCCACAAAAUAAAACCCAAUAAAAAUUUACCCCUUACCAACUAAUGUUUACCCUUUUAAUUGAUAACUUUGUCAUGCAAACUUCGAAUUUAACGCAUAGCAUGUCUACGAACUCGUAUUAACGUCCACUACGAUUUUCAUGUAGGAAGUUUUCCCAAAUUCCAAACGGAAGAAAAAGUCAACUUUUAGAGUCUUAAAAUAGUAAACGGUUACAUAAAACGGUAAAAGACCAAAAUAAUACCAAAGUAAGUAACCGUAAAAUAACUUAAGAACCGGGGUGUGACACUAAAAGACUAAUAAAAAGAAACUAUGGCAAUUUAUCUAGAACCAAAGGUCAAUUUUCGAUCCCGUGCUGACAACGCCAAAAACUUGUUGUCAAAUUUUAAUAACUUCGCAAGUACACGAAUCGUUUGUAGUAUAGCUUAUAUGAAAAUACGAGGUCGUUCCAACUAGGGAUUGAUAACUAACUUUUAAUUCUGACUAAUUGACCAAAUUACUCUAAUGACUAAUCAAGAAAACAAGAAGAUAUUUUUGUGAUUUUUGUAAACAAUGAGAAAAGAGUAAAACAAGCAAAUUGAGAAUGUCACACAAGAUAAUUGAGAAGAUGUUUUUGAAAAGUUGUAGAACAAUGAUGGAUGAAUGCUAGGGCUUCUAACUUCACCGUCAUAAUCCUAUUCGUGUUCCUAGUCUUCUGAUUACUAACUACUAAACCGGUGUUGAAAAAUCCGUCAUAUAAGCCUUAGCAGAGUAUUUAUACUGACAAGACCCACCUCGAAAACACAUAGAAAAAUAAGCAAGUCUUGCGGGAUCCACUCUUAAAAGAGAUUAUACCGAAAUUUCGGCAUAAUCCCCCCUAAAAAUGGACAACCCAACAUGCGAGAAAAGAACCAAGAACACUUCAACUAUAUCAAAGAACCACAUCUCCUGGAGUCCUUUGCUCCCCACAACAAAAUCCAAGUCAUAACAGCACUUAACCAAUUCAAACCCAAUAUUCAACUACGAUAUUUAAACACAAACACCAACCAAAGUUAAACUCCCUACUUGGGUUAUAACCCUUAAAAAUAACUCCAACUUAUUUUACAUAUCCCGAUGGUCAUCAGAGCACUACAAGAAGGAAAUAUAAUACUACACAUAGGUUAACAGGUAACGUACGGUCAACAAGGUGCAGCGGAAAACUAUGCCUCAACUCCUAGUGAAACCAAACAGGAGCUCUACAAUCUGGGCAUUUGAAAACAAAGGGCCCAGGGAAAAGCAUUUAAAAACGUUAGCAUGAGUGGACGAAAAAUAAACUAAUUAAUAAGUAUCCAAGAGCAUAAAGAUACUAAAUCAAAAUUUUAUAUGCUUUUCCAUUUUUACGGAAUUCAAGAAUUUUCAUGCAUGCAAAUAUUAUAAACUCAACAAAAAUUCCAACUAGCCCCGCUAGUCAUAAAACAAUAAGAAAAAUAUAUAGAUUUCUCAUUCAAGAAACUUUCAAAAUAAUGGACUAGCCCUGCUAGUCAAAUUAACAACUCAAAUAGAAUAUCCUAUAUGGCCAUAUAAAUGAGUCUCCCAGACUCGGUUGCCUCCCAUGCAUAGUACUCCCAUACUCUCUGUACUUUCACGUCGAGUGGACGGAUAGAGCACAGGGCUUGCGUGAUACCGCCGACAACAUCACAUCACCACUAGGGUGGAAAGAGCUUGCGUGACCCCACUUGAAAUGUGGGAGUCACAUCACCUCGAGAGGUGGAACGACAUACUAGCAUUGACAUCAUAUAAUCCAACAAUUAUAGCAUAAGAAAGAAAUAAAUUAAAUUUAAUAACGUGUCCCACACGUUACAAUGCGCAAAAUAAUAAUUAAGCCAGAUAACCCACAUAUUUCAAAUCUCCAAUCAUGCAUGCAUAUUUCAUUAAAAAUAAAGUGUCCACUCACAAUAUAGAUGGCUAUGCCUGACGUCGGUCAGAGCCCUCCUCACGUGGUGUCCCCUCUCGUACUGUACAAAACGAGAUUUAAGGUCAGAGACAAAAAUACAAGAAUAUCAAAUUUAACAAAUAUAAAGUCCUCCUCACUUACUCUAUACUCAUCCAAACCUAAGAAGAACUCCAACCUUAUUUUUACUAAUCAUCUCCAAUUUCUCCUCAAUGUUCUAACACAUAAUGAAAAAUAUGGAAAUUCCCAAGGAUGAGGCUCACCUCUACUCUUUCACCAAAAUCGACUUAAACUUUCCUAAAUUCCUACUAACACUUACCAAAAUUUCCAAUACUUCAAUACCACUCAUCUCUCACCCAUGGAACCAUCAAAACUAUCCCAAAUUCCAAACACUCUUCACCAAAAAUCACCAUACAAUACAACAACAUUUAUCCCUUCUAGAACUCAUCCAAAAUUACUCAAAACCACCACCAAAACCGGCAGCAGUCACCGGCAGUGGCGGUCAACCACCACCACUAAAUCAACUUCAACCAAAAUUAACAAGGCAUACAUCAAACUCUUCCUCUCAUCAAGCAUAACUAGGGCUGGGCACGGAACGGGACGGACCGGGAUUUGGUGAAUCCCGUCCCGUCCCGAAAAUAAAAGAACGGGACGGGACGGGACGGGAAGGUGUUUUUAAAAAUCUGUCCCGUACGUCCCGAUCCCGAUCGGGAUCAGGAUGGGACCGGGACGGGAUCGGGAUCCCGAAAAAUUUUUUUUUUUUUUUUUUUUUUUUAAGAACAAAUUAAUUGAUUAUCAAACACCACCACAGGUGGAAAACAGGUUGAGAAACUCCAAGCAUUCAAAUGCUCCACCACAAUUGAUCAGUGUAUGAAAUUUUCGACAUUUUUAUGCUGUUUGGAACAACAUUAAUGAAAUUAAUGGAAAAAAAAAUAUCCAAAAACACAUAAACAAAAAAAAAAAGAACAUUGAUGAAAUUAGAAGUACUAAAAUCAACAAGAACAUAGGUGCAUAGGUGCUAAAUUACAUCCCACUUUAAAAGUACUAAACAUCCCACAUUAAAAAUUAACCCUCAAACAACAACUAAAAAUAUCCAAAAUCACACAAGCAAAAAAAAAAGAACAUGAAUGAAAUUAAAAGUAUUAUUUUAGACCAAAUUAAGUGUGGUUGAGUGCAUUGUAACACCAUGCAACCUAAAAAAUCAAGUAUAAAAUGAAUAAAAUCAAGUAUUCUAAUAUUACGGGACGGGACGGGAUUACUAUUUUCAAAACCUAUCUCGUCUCGUCCCGCUAACUUUCGGGACGGGACCGGUACGGGAUCGGGAUUCCGGUACUAAGUGCCCAGCCCUAAGCAUAACAACAAUCAUGACUAACACAAACUCUAGAGCUCAAAGAUUUGGCCAGAAAACUCAUUAUAAACUCAAGAACUUAAGAGCUCCGAUUUGCUCUAUACUCUAAAUCGUUCUACCUCUUUUGGGUGGUUGAAAGACUAAUCAAAGAGCUACAAAACCCCCCAAAGAAACCUUGAAUCGGUGGCCGGAGAAGGGAGUUCCGGCAAGAGCAACCACGCGGUAGCAGCGGCGUCACCGCGCCUUAAUGCCGGCGAGUAAGGACCGGUCACCACCUCAGGCUGUACGAGCGGUGUCCCAGCUGCCAGACGCGACCCGUGCGGCGGCCAGGCGUGGUCGGACGGCGGCGAUCGGUUGGGGAGAAGCCGGACGGUUCGGGGUUAGGGUCGGGCUCAGGGAGAGAGAAAGGGUGAGGGAUGUGUAUUUUCUGAUUUUUUUACCUUAACCAAAAGGUAAGUCUCCCUUAAAUGCCUAAGCCCAAAAAUGGGUACUAUUAUUAUUGAACUACCCUUCAUUUACGAACUCUUAUUUGGGUAACUAAAAAAUCUAUGAACUCGACUAAACCACCUCUAUUAAGGAUAACAUACUAAAUUUCCGAAUUGAUUAGCUACCACUAAACCGGAAAUCAGAAUAUAAAAAUAAUUACUAGGUUUGGGGUGUAUCAUAUACGUAUAAGUUCUCCAAAGCAUGAAUACUACCUUAUGGCAGAGUAUAGUAUCCAACUAUUCUUAGAAGUAUGACAUCUACUCUCUAAGGGUCAAUGAAGUUCGAUGAGAACAAAAGGACUCACAAACCAGUAAAACAUGGCUCCUAUCUUAUCAAUCUAUGGUUUUUAUCAUAAGAAGCAUUCAAGAUUCA
rnacentral:lncRNA from 1 species